rnacentral:misc_RNA from 1 species
UCUCCGUAGGUGAACCUGCGGAGGGAUCAUUACAGAGUUCUCGCCCUCGCGGGUGGAUCUCCCACCCACUGUCAUCGUUACUGUGUUGCCUUGGCGGGCCGCCGGGCCCCGCUCGGCCGCCGGCUCCGGCUGGCGCGCGCCCGCCAGAGGCCCAGCAAACUCUGAAUGUUAGUGUCGUCUGAGUACUAUAUAAUAGUUAAAACUUUCAACAACGGAUCUCUUGGUUCUG